CCUACGGGUGGCAGCAGUGGGGAAUAUUGCACAAUGGGGGAAACCCUGAUGCAGCGACGCCGCGUGAGUGAAGAAGUACUUCGUUACGUAAAGCUCUAUCAGCAGGGAAGAAACACUGACCUUACGGUCAGCAGACGGUACCUGCGUAAGAAGCACCGGCUAACUACGGGCCAGCAGCCGCGGGAAUACGUAGGGGGCAAGCGUUAUCCGGAUUUACUGGGUGUAAAGGGGGCGUAGACGGUGCGCCAAGUCUGGAGUGAAAUGCCUCAGCUUAACUGCGGAACUGCUGUGGAAACUGGCGAACUAGAGUGCGGGAGAGGUAAGCGGAAUGCCUAGUGUAGCGGUGAAAUGCGUAGAUAUUAGGCGGAACUCCGAUGGCGAAGGCGGCUUACUGGACCGUAACUGACGUUGAGGCUCGAAAGCGUGGGGAGCAAACAGGAUUAGAUACCCUAGUAGUC
rnacentral:rRNA from 1 species